ACAAGCAAUAGACUUUCACUUUACCAAGAGAAGCUUAAUGCAUGUGGUGUGUGCUCUAGGUGGCUCUCACUUGCACUAAUGAGGUCCUGACGUGGAAUUAAGAUUUUCUAGUCACCUCACUAGUCUUUGUUGUGCUUGCAAUGUUGUAGCAAUAUGUGGUCAUCAAUGUGGGCAGCAAGACACUCAAUAAGGUAGGUGGACGGGGUAUAAAUAGCCCCACUCACCAAACUAGUCGUUACCUGGCUGUUCUGCGUAUGGGCGCACCGGACAGUCCGUGUGCCACCGGUGCGCCAACGGUCGUCUCCAACGGCUAGUUCUGACAGCUAGCAGUUGGGCUGAUGGCACAACGGACAGUGAACAGUACCUGUCCGGUGCACACCGGACAGUCCGGUGUGGCGGCUAAAAUUCUUUUUCUCCACUCGUUGCUCUCGGAUUUUCUCGGGGACAGAAUCACUGCCCCCGGGGCUGACUGGCACCACUGUCAGGGGGUGCACCGGACAGUCUGGUGCACAUCGGACAGUCUGGUGCCCCUAAGACAGAAACCCUAACUUCGUUUUUCCUUUUGUUUUUCAAAACCGUUUUUGUUCUAACUCGUGAGUGUGUUAUAGAGUGACACCUAACACUAGAUGUAAGUGUGAAUAUGCACCAACACUACACUAGAAUUCUCUUGGUCAAACUACUCAUCCACAACCUCUCUUUAUAGUACGGCUAAAACAAAAUAGAAGACCUAAUUCUAUACCGAGUGUCUACAACUCCUUCAACACUCGGAAUAUGAAGACUUUCAUCUUUUGAUUCGUCGUUUCAGUUGUCGCUUCAAGUUCUCAUCUCAGGGAUUGUUUUCACCAUUGUAGUACAACUUUCUGUAAUGCGACCUAACUUACCAUUUGCUCUGCAAAACACACGCUAGUCACAUAUAAUAUUACGUUGUCAUUAAUCACUAAAACCAACCAGGGGCCUAGAUGCUUUCAGGCUCCAAGGCAACACCUUAUAUUAUGAGACUAGAAUAAAAAAGUGGUUGCAUCUCAUAUACUUGGACGACGAGAGUUAUUAGAAUUCCGAUAUCCAUGUCUACCUAUUAUUAAACAUUUUAAGUUAUUAUUAGAUUUUUUAGAUAAAGGAAUAAAUAUUCGGCUUCAUCUUUCAACUAAGAAAAUUAGACCAAUUAUCACAAAAUUUUAGAUCAAAAUUCUAAUUUAUUCAACUCAAAACAUAAUUCUAUAUUGUUCAGCAUCCAAAAGAAGUAAUAAAAAAUGUUCGGCAGAGAAGAAGACCCCCAACAGCGGGUAUUUUAGCACACAAUAAACUUGAAUCCAUCUAGAAAUAGCACAAAAAUAUCACAUUAGAAGGAUCGAUAAUCAUUUUACUACUAAAGCACAUAUCAUUCCUAGUUUUCCAAGUGGCCCAAAGUACAACCAGUACAACCCCACAUCCAAACAUCACCAAAUCAUCAUGUUUUUACUAAUUUUCUACCUAGUCCCCAAACAAGGAAUCAGAAUUAUUCACAAGGUUACCUAAUACGCUAUUUGUUAUGAUAAUGGAGUCCUUAAUGUUCCAUCGGGUUCAUGAUAACUUCUGUUUUGGUGGAACGUGGUACUACGACUCUUAUGGUGAUCAACCGUGUCACUAAUCCGGUUGAUCUCGUUAAGAAGGCUAAUCCAUGUCAGUGAAUCGAAAACACAAGAAAGAACUUGAAAGUACACAGCUCAACAAAAAUGCUAACAAUAUAUGUAUGACUAAGAUCACAAAAGUGGGGUUUUAUAACCCUAUAAUGACAAUUAUUCAAAGAUAAUUUUUAAAAGCAAAACUUGAGUCCUAACAUGAGUAGUGGCUACUAAUUAUAUAUCCUAAGGCUAUCACACCCCUUGAACGUGUCCCCUAAUGGGCUCUAAGACAACACAUGCCUAGCCAACCAAAAAAUUGUGACACAACACUAACAUAUUUUGAAUGCUGACUUAUUUCGAUAAUUUCAUUAAUUCCGGUGGAAAUUAGACCUUAGAUCAAAAUUAUUAGUUAGCUUAUGAAAAUAUAUUUCUAUUCAUAUAUUGAUCAUAAAAAAUGGAUUAUGUAUGUCGUGUAUGUCUCGCACAUCUGUUUUACUACAGGAUGGUCCUAAAGGUCCACUCAGACUCAAACUCGAGUUGGACUAAUGCCUUUAAUUGGUCUUGGGCGUUCUUUUUGAUCUUCACCUCCACACCUUCAAUUACUUCAUGACCCUCUCUAAUGUUAUCAAGCACGAUAACAUAAUUAGAUAAUCUAUUCCCAAAAUUAUCGAAAGGAUCACUUACCUUUGAAAAUUUAAUCAUCACAUUUGUGCUCAAGUCAUUGGACCUUAUAUAACGAUCGGAUGAUUAGUAGGCGCAUCUGAAGGUGUGAUGUCCUUAUCAUCCUUCCUCAAUUGAAAUGGAGUCAUUCUUGACUCAAUUCUUCAUCUAAAUAUGGCUUUAAAUCUGCAACGUUAAAGAUGGACUAACCCUAGACAUAGAUUCUUCUUUAGAGGUACUUUUAAUCCUAUUCCCCUACUUUAGCACCACUGCUCAGUUCUACCCCUCUAGUAGUAAUGGAUGAGGCGUUUUUAAUACUAGAGAGGUGCAAAACUGAUCUAUGACGCUAAGCUAGGAGCAUAUAUUUAAAAGUCCCUACCUCUACAAGUGAAUGAUUUCUUGAAAGACUUUGUUAGCAAUGUGAAUGUCAUCGUCGCUUUUAUGAUAGGGAAUAAAAGUUAUCACUUCAGAUAAAUGAUCAACCACCACAAAAAUACUAUCCCCCCUAUUAGUUCUUUGCAAUUCCAAAACAAAGUUCAUAUAUAUAUAUCCACCCAAGAAAUAGAAGAAAUGAACCAACAUAUACAAACCAUAUGGGUUCAACCGCGAUUUAGCUAUUUGACAUGUCGUGUAUCAAGCUACGAACCUCUCUACAUCUUGCCUCAUCCUUGGAUAGAAGAAGUAUGUGACCAACACUUUAUCUUCUUGACAUUAAAAUGUUCCAUCAAUCCACCUCCAUGUGCCUCUUGCAACAACAAAAGACGAACAUAAACAAGUAGAAUGCAUUAUCGGUUAGCUCUAAACAAAAACUCACCAUGCAUCACAAAUUUGUUCUAUAUACAUCUCUUUAUAUAUAUUUUUUGUCACAUCCUUAAGUUCAUUAUUAUUAACAUAUUGUACUUUAAUAUUUUAAGCCUAAUUAUAGAACAAUCAAAUUGGAACAACAUAGUAUAUUAUCUGGACAAAGCAUCAACAAUAAUAUUAUCUUUUUCUUUCUUAUGUUUGAUCACAUAAGAAAAUGAUUCAAUAAAUUCAACCCACAUAGGCAUGUGUACGUUUCAGUUUAUUUUGACUUAGUUAUUAGAGUAAUUAGGAAAUUCUGCAUACAGUUCUUCGCCAUACAUAGAAUAAUUAAGAAUGUCUAUUUAAUUUCUCACUAAAGUAAGCAACGAGCUUACCUUGCAUCAAUACACCACUAAUGCAAACUCCAUUAGCAUCACAUUGAUGCUCAAAAGUCCUACAAAAUUAGGAAGUUGUUGUAAUAAUGUGUUGGUAAGCAUGUUCUUUCAAAGAGCAAAGGACACUUCUUGUUCUUUUGCUCAGUGAAACAUGAUGUCCUUUUUGUCAAUUCAUUUAGCAAGGCUAUAAUAGUGCUUUAAUCCUUCACAAAGUAAUAAUAAAAUCAUAUAAGUCCAUAGAAGCUUCACACUUUUAUCACGGUUGUGGGCGUUGACCGACUCUUUAUAGCACACAUGUUAUCUUCAUCUACUUUACUUCCGUGUGAGGUCACAACAUAG
rnacentral:lncRNA from 7 species